rnacentral:misc_RNA from 1 species
AGGGAUCAUUAACACGUAUCCAACACGUUUAAACCAAAACCCGUGCUCCUCAUAUCUAGCAUACUUCUUAUGCUAGCACUUAUCCCAAAAGGGUCGUGUCUCACAAGCCACAGAUGGAUUCCUCUCCCUCACAGGAGAGGCCUGCUUGUAGAUGCUAUUGAGUACUUUAUUGAUACUCAGCUCUGAGUGCUAGUGUAAAGGUGUGUCAGCCAUCUAACCCCAUUUUAACCCCUUUUUUUAAUUUAAACUGACUUAAUACUAUUCUGAACCGAAAGGUGAAGAAAAGAGUUAUACGAAACGCGAACAACUCUUAGCAAUGGAUAUCUUGGUUCUC